UACGUAGGGUGCAAGCGUUAAUCGGAAUUACUGGGCGUAAAGCGUGCACAGGCGGUUUUGUAAGUCUGUCGUGAAAUCCCCGGGCUUAACCUGGGAAUGGCGAUGGAGACUGCAAGGCUAGAGUUUGGCAGAGGGGGGUAGAAUUCCACGUGUAGCAGUGAAAUGCGUAGAGAUGUGGAGGAACACCGAUGGCGAAGGCAGCCCCCUGGGUCAAAACUGACGCUCAUGCACGAAAGCGUGGGGAGCAAACAGG
rnacentral:rRNA from 1 species